CACAAACAGCCAUUCACAUACAUAAGUGCAAAAGUCUUGUACAAGUAGUUAAACCCAACUUUACCACACCUCUGGCUCAUAAUUCUCUAUUUGAAAACGUCCUUUUCUGAGGAAGUUUCCAAAAAUGUGGCUCCCUGAUUUCAAGUCGAGAUAGCAGCUCAGUUUACCAUUGGAACAACGCUUCAAACUAAUGAGGACUGUCAUAUUGCCGUUGGUGCAAUAAGUGUCUGGAUGGUUCAUGAGAGGUUCCCUUGCCGUGCCGGCAGGGCAAGCUAUCUCUGGCGCAGGGAGUGAUUGUGACCACCAACACCUGAUCUGAAGUAUGUUAUAGUUUGAGACACAGGGUUCUAAUUGACAUAAGUCUGCUAGUCUAAGACUUGUAGGAUUCUGGAAGAAUAAAUGACACUUUCUUGAGGUCCACCAUGUUUACCAUUAUGCAGAUGCCAACUCUGUAGCGCCUACUUUAUGUGGACUUGUGAAAAUAAAAAUUAAUUUCAAACCAUGGCCACGCUGUCGGUCAUACCGACCUCAUCACUCCACUUCACGAACUGUCAAAUAAUCUCUUCAAAAUGACAAGUAGCCCCAUUUUAUACAUAUAUAAGUCUUUGAAAUGAGA